rnacentral:rRNA from 1 species
GUGAGGAAUUUUCCGCAAUGGGCGAAAGCCUGACGGAGCAAUGCCGCGUGAAGGAUGAAGGCCUAUGGGUUGUAAACUUCUUUUCUCAGAAAAGAAUUAUGACGGUAUCUGAGGAAUAAGCAUCGGCUAACUCUGUGCCAGCAGCCGCGGUAAGACAGAGGAUGCAAGCGUUAUCCGGAAUGAUUGGGCGUAAAGCGUCUGUAGGUUGUUUAAAAAGUAUUCUGUCAAAGAUUAGGGCUUAACCCUAGAUAGGCAGAAUAAACUUUUAAGCUAGAGGUUGGUAGAGGCAGAGGGAAUUCCCGGUGGAGCGGUGAAAUGCGUAGAUAUCGGGAGGAACACCAAAGGCGAAGGCACUCUGCUGGGCCAAUACUAACACUGAGAGACGAAAGCGAGGGGAGCAAAUGGGAUUAGAAACCCCGGUAGUCC